CUGCUCUAGUGCCAAUACUUCCAGGCAACCUAGCAGCCGCAUCUCGGACAAGACAGAGAAUUGUUACAUGUGGUGGACGAUCACGUUUCAACAUAAAAUGGUCUCGGGCUUUUGAUGUUGGCUUACCACCGCACCUUCUCAAAGGCGUGGCUCGGGAAGACUUCCUAUUUGCUGAAGAGUUUCUUGACCACAUUUCAACCAAUUGGCGAAGGAAUCUACUAACUUCACAAGCAUCUUAUGAGGAAGACUCCAAGCUUCCGGAGAUGUCACCUCUUCGAUGGUAUCAUGAUCAGAUGAAUUAUGUAAAACUGGGCCAGCCCAUGACCAACUUCUGGUAGACUUUUCAUAAGCUGUUAGAGCCUUCCAACCCUUUGCUCCUAAUGGUGCCGUUUU